rnacentral:tRNA from 1 species
ACUAAUUUGGCAGAAAAGUGCAAUGAAUUUAGAAUUCAUGAAUGUAUUUAUUACAUUUAGUA